UACAGAGGUGGCAAGCGUUGUUCGGAAUUACUGGGCGUAAAGGGCGCGUAGGCGGCCAUCUAAGUCAGACGUGAAAUCCCCCGGCUUAACCUGGGAACUGCGUCUGAUACUGGACGGCUUGAGUAUGGGAGAGGGAAGUGGAAUUUCCGGUGUAGCGGUGAAAUGCGUAGAUAUCGGAAGGAACAUCAGUGGCGAAAGCGACUUCCUGGACCAAUACUGACGCUCAUGUGCGAAAGCGUGGGGGAGCAAACAGG
rnacentral:rRNA from 1 species